rnacentral:pre_miRNA from 1 species
AGUGGGAUAGCUGGGUCAAAUGGUGGUUCCAUUCCCGUUUUCCAAGGAAUCUCCAUAGUACUUUCCAUAUUGGCUGCACCAAUUUGCAGUCCCACCAGCAGU